rnacentral:rRNA from 1 species
UACGUAGGGUGCGAGCGUUAAUCGGAAUUACUGGGCGUAAAGCGUGCGCAGGCGGUUUUGUAAGCCAGAUGUGAAAUCCCCGGGCUUAACCUGGGAAUGGCAUUUGGGACUGCAAGGCUCGAGUGCGGCAGAGGAGACUGGAAUUCCUGGUGUAGCAGUGAAAUGCGUAGAUAUCAGGAGGAAUACCGAUGGCGAAGGCAGGUCUCUGGGCCAAUACUGACGCUCAUGCACGAAAGCGUGGGGAGCAAACAGG